rnacentral:snoRNA from 11 species
UUUCAUGAUGAAUUUGCUUUGGAAUCUCGUUCGGCUGAAUUUCGCUGUUGAGAAGCAAAUCUGAGUCUU